AGUUGAGGUUAAUUUGGUAUCAAACUUUUCUUGCUAAUAGUUGAAAAUAUAGCGUUCCUUGAGGAAUGUGGUGCAAAUUGGAAGGUAUUGUUGAAAUAUACCCAAGUUUUGAACAAGAAAAGGUAGUUGGUGAUGGCUCUGCCUUGAAUGAAUCAUUUAAAAGUAUUUAUAGGUGCAUUUGUUAAAUUGGAAGCUCAUGGCUUUGUAAGCCUUGGAUCUUCAGAGUUCAGACAGAAAACCAUGGUGAUAGACAAGUCUUGGCUAUUUUAAAAUUCCUGAUUUCUAAGCUAAUGACUAUAUUGGAACUAUUAACUGUGAUAUACUGCACGUUGUGG
rnacentral:misc_RNA from 1 species